rnacentral:rRNA from 1 species
CCUACGGCAGGCUGCAGUGGGGAAUAUUGGACAAUGGGGGGAACCCUGAUCCAGCCAUGCCGCGUGUGUGAAGAAGGCCCUCGGGUUGUAAAGCACUUUCAGUGAGGAAGAACGCCUGGUGGUUAAUACCCAUCAGGAAAGACAUCACUCACAGAAGAAGCACCGGCUAACUCCGUGCCAGCAGCCGCGGUAAUACGGAGGGUGCGAGCGUUAAUCGGAAUUACUGGGCGUAAAGCGCGCGUAGGUGGCUUGAUAAGCCGGUUGUGAAAGCCCCGGGCUCAACCUGGGAACGGCAUCCGGAACUGUCAAGCUAGAGUGCAGGAGAGGAAGGUAGAAUUCCCGGUGUAGCGGUGAAAUGCGUAGAGAUCGGGAGGAAUACCAGUGGCGAAGGCGGCCUUCUGGACUGACACUGACACUGAGGUGCGAAAGCGUGGGUAGCAAACAGGAUUAGAUACCCUUGUAGUC